UAGCUCAGGUGGUUAGAGCGCACACCUGAUAAGGGUGAGGUCGGUGGUUCAAGUCCAGU
rnacentral:tRNA from 1 species